UGGCAGUAGAGGGAGGUGUAUGUGGGAAGUUUAAUCUAAGCAAUUGACUUCAAAUAGAUGAUGAAGGGCAAGCAAUAGCUGAGCUUAAUAGCCAUAUGGUUAAGCUAGCAUAUGUACCUACUCAGGUAUGGAAAGGGUAUAAUCAGAGUAGUUGGUUUGGUAGUUGGUAUGAGCAGUUUGGAGGAAUCAAGGCAUUGGUAGGUGG